AUGCUAAAAAUUCAUCGUAGUCAAUUACGAAAAAAAUAUUUUCAUGAAGAAAAGCAUUGCCUAUGCUUUCAGUCUUUCAGUCCAUACACCAAGUAUUUUUGAGGAAACUAUUUGGCAGUUCGACACAAAAUGCUUUCAAAUGUAAAUGCUUCAGCUCACGUGCAUAAUUCCAGAAGGCAUUCAUCUGAGGAGCGGAACAUUUCUAUCAGCAAUUAUAUUUCAGGUUCUAGACUAAAAUAAUUUUGAAUUUAUAACCCAAUCUAAUCAACAGAUUUUAAUCCUUCUUCUCCAAUUAGCAUGCACGUGAUCUUUAUGCGCUGCUACGGCCACAUUCAGCGCAGCUGAAGAAAUCCUCACCGUGAAACAGACCAGCAAUAAGUCAGUUCUGCCUCUUUCACUUCCACAGCGAUCACUUCUAGCAAGCCACCACAGGAUAAUGAACUCACGCACCAGAAGCAAUUUUAUAUUCCUUUACGUGCUACUAUUCGGCAACAAGACAGCCCCAGCAAGUGGUACAACCUAAGAGAAAAACCCUCUUUAGAUAAACAGCAUCAUUAGGGGCAAUAUAAUAGAGCGCUCUGAAAUUCCACAGAGAAGAUCGUUUAGGAGUUUGCAAUUUUCUAACAACUACUACGAGAUAAAAAUAUUAGUUAAUAUUUAACUGCACUGCCUUGUGCAGCUACCACAAGCCUCUGAAAAGUACUUGGAAGAAAUUAAUUGUAGCUGAGCUAUCACCGAGCCAUACGUUCCUAAAUUCCUUCCUUAAUCUGCACAGUUCAGCAAAACAUUCUCUGCUUACUCUGAGUUUGAUCGGCCAAUAAAUACUACUUUACUGCUUCAAGUUACGAGUUAUUUUUUCAGUUUACGUUACCAUAAAACAGCUCAAACGCAAUGUCAAUACGGAGAUGGUUUUGAUACAAUACUGACAAUGGCCUGAAUUUAAAACUAUUACUGUGCAAGCCACUGGGUAUUUUCUAGUUACUUUGAGGAGGGUGGGGGGUGGGAAAAAAAAGAAAAAAAAAGAAUUUGGAUUUGUUUUCUUGUAUCCAUGAAUUUAAGUAAAUAAAUAAAAUUAAAGGAAACGAUUCAAAUGUUUUACAUGAGCAUCCAGGUUUCUUCAGCACAGAAGAAAGCAUUCUGUUCUACAAAUACAUACGGAAGGAUUAGAUUUCACACAGAGGCUCUUUAAAAUAUAUUAAUUUCCAGACACUUCAGCUUGCGUGUUCACUUGGCUAUAUAAAGCACAGAAAGUGUUAUAGGUUUGGCGAUUUCAGAGUUGUUAUAAAUCUGUGACCCUCUGCCAAACCAUGCCUAACUCAGAACAUCUAUAGCUGCAUGCUACUCAGAUUUAGCUACGAAUGUCAUUAGUCUAGUAUUUAAGUAAUGUACUUAAGUAAAUUUCUUCGUCAACACCCAAAGAGCAAGUGAAAGAGCGGGACCGAGCGCGAGCACGCACCCGCACACGUAUGUAGAAGAUAAAAUAGAAGAUACACUUACGGCACUUACGGACCUUUGCAGGCUAUCAAAAAAAUCAUUGUAAAAAGAGAUGAUACAAAUGGCAAUUAUAAAGCAAUCCUGAACAAUCCCAGGUACCAGAAAAAAAUAAAUACGAGCCCCGGAAAUACUUAUGUCCAAAUCCACGUUGUUAAGACAAUCGGGAUGCGUAACUGCAGUGAGAUACAAUUACUGAAGAUCAUCUCACAGUUAACUCAAAAAUACGAGUUCAGGACGGGUAUGCUGGUGCCCAGGCGUACAGAUGGCACAAAACCCCAUGGACUCGUUCCCAGGCGCAUCGUGACUGCUCUGCACGCCGACGUCUAAUAACGCCUGGGACACGCUGAAAUAUUAAAUAGAUAUAAAAACUUGCACCGCCCAACUUUGUCGGUCUCUUUUCUUGAGCUUCUUUCUGUUUAAGAAAUAAGGGAGGGGAUUGCCAUUGAAGCCAGCAGCUAUUCUGCAAUCAAUGAAGGCAAGACUGGCACAAGUCCUGGAAGAUUUGCAUUCAGAAAUAAAAGCUGCGAUCGACCUUUGUCUGCUAAGAAAACGAAGCCCGCUGCUUCUCGCCAGCCUGGCGAAGGGAGGGGCCGCCUCGCUGGGCAGGGAGAGUCCAACCUAAAACCCGCCGGCGGUGCAUACAAACUAGCUCGGCCAAAGAAAUCAAUUCCCCUUAACCGAGGAAAAAAAGAGAGAGAGGAGAGAGAGGGAGAGAAAAGGAUCAGCGGAGGGGAAAAUACUCGGGAGUUUUAACCUCAAUGCAACGAUAUACAGUACGGCCGAGCCAAGCGCAGAAGAGACGGAAAAUUAAUCCGUUCUUCAGCAGUGAAAGGAGGGUUAAAUAAAGAGAGAAAGAGAGAGAGAGAGAGACGAAGAGGAGAAAAAGCAGCAGCGCCUAUGUACAGCGUUUUUAAAAGUUCUGCUCUGGCAAAGGCCGUCUGAAGGGGAGGCCCUUGCAGCAGGAAUGCGAGCGGCGGCAGCAGCCUCGUUCCAGAGUCCGGCCUCCCCCUCGCAGCGACUGGAGCCGAGAGGCGGAGGAGGCCGCGUUGGCGCGGCGCAGGGCCUGGGCUGGCGAUGGGAGGGCGG
ensembl:lncRNA